ensembl:lncRNA
UGAGAUCUCAUUUGUGACUUUCUCUCCUGCGUGAGAACAAUCAGAGACAGAAUGAUGAUGGAUGAGCUGAACUGAUAGAGUGAUUUGAAUUAAAUAUCUUCGUUUUGCUACCCAUAAUACAACUGAUCAGUCGACCAAUCACGUGCUGUCUGAGAUCCGUCAGGAGCCGGGAUUGGUUUCUCUGUGUGUGGCAGGUCUGACAGGCGUUAUCCGUCCAUCAGUGUCCGAGUCUGGAUAAACACUAACCCUACAUUUCCCACAAUGCCCUUCUGCUGUCAUCCGCAGGAAGACUAUUCCAAAGUCUCUGAGCACCUACGGCGAAUGCUCGAUCACCCCUAGACUUGAGUCUGGUUCUAGAAACCACUAAGAGCCUUAAGUUUGCAGACCUGAGAGCUCUUGGAGGUUGGUGAACUAUCAACAGGUCCGAGAGGUAAGAAGGUGCUAAACCAUUUAAAGACUUAAAAACCAAUAAGAGCACUUUAAAAUUAAUCCUGUUGCGCACAGGUACCCAAUGUAACAACUGCAGGACAGGGGUAAUAUGCUCACGCUUUCGAGCUCCCGUCAGGACUCAUUUUGAACCAGGAGGAAUUUGCAGUGAAAAUGUGGUUGUAAAUGGUUAAAUGGUUUGUGUUGGCAGUGAAAAUGUGGUUGAAGACAGUUAAAUAGUUUUGUCUAUGCAGAGAAAAUGUAAACUGUCUUUGCAGUAAAAAUGCAGUUGUAAGCCAUUAAAUAUAUUUGUCUUUGCAGUUAAAAAUUUGGUUAUAAAUGGUUAAAUUGUUUUGUCUUUUCAGUAAAAAUUUGGCUGUAAAAGUUUAAAAAGUCUUUCCAGUAAAAAUGUGAUUGUAAAUGGUUAAAAAGAUUUGUCUUUGCAGUAAAAAUGUGGUUGUAAAUGGUUAAAUAGAUUUGUCUUUGCAGUAAAAAUGUGGAUGUUAAUGGUUAAAUUGAUUUGUCUUUGCAGUAAAAAUGUGAUUGUAAAUGGUUAAAAAGAUUUGUCUUUGCAGUAAAAAUGUGGAUGUAAAUGGUUAAAUUGAUUUGUCUUUGCAGUAAAAAUGUGGUUGUAAAUGGUUAAACUGAUUUGUCUUUGCAGUAAAAAUGUGAUUGUAAACAGUUAAAUAGAUUUAUCUUUGCAGUAAAAAUUUGGUUGUAAAUGGUUCGAUUGUUUUGUCUUUGCAGUAAAAAUGUGAGUGUAAACAGUUAAAUAGAUUUAUCCUUGUAGUAAAAUGUGGUUGUAAAUGGUUAAAUAGAUUUGUCAUUACAGUGAAAAUGAAAACUGCCUAUGCAGUGAAAAUGCAGUUGUAAACUGUUAAAUUGUUUUGUCUUUGCAGUAAUAAUGCGGUUA